rnacentral:tRNA from 1 species
ACCAGGAUGGCCCAGUGGUUGAGGGGUUGAAAUUAAAACCCAAUGGAUGUAUGUCCAUGUGUAUUCGAACCCCACUUCUGGUA